rfam:Toxoplasma gondii VEG unlocalized apicoplast scaffold scaffold00516, whole genome shotgun sequence.
UCUUCAGUAGCUCAGUGGUUAGAGCUUUCGGCUGUUAACCGAAGAGUCGUUGGUUCAAAUCCAAUCUGAGGAG